GUGAGGGGUAUAGUUCCAUGGUAGAGUGUGUUCUUGGCGUGCACAAGGUCCUGGGUUCAGUCCCCAUUUCCUUUAUUCAAAUAAAUAAGUAAACCCA